AUACGUAGGGUGCGAGCGUUGUCCGGAAUUACUGGGCGUAAAGAGCUCGUAGGUGGUUUGUCGCGUCGUCUGUGAAAUUCCGGGGCUUAACUCCGGGCGUGCAGGCGAUACGGGCAUAACUUGAGUACUGUAGGGGAGACUGGAAUUCCUGGUGUAGCGGUGAAAUGCGCAGAUGUCAGGAGGAACAUCGGUGGCGAAGGCGGGUCUCUGGGCAGUAACUGACGCUGAGGAGCGAAAGCAUGGGUAGCGAACAGGAUUAGAUACCCUGGUAGUCCAUGCCGUAAACGGUGGGCGCUAGGUGUAGGGGUCUUCCACGACUUCUGUGCCGUAGCUAACGCAUUAAGCGCCCCGCCUGGGGAGUACGGCCGCAAGGCUAAAACUCAAAUGAAUUGGCGGGG
rnacentral:rRNA from 1 species